CUAACUCCGUGCCAGCAGCCGCGGUAAUACGGAGGGUGCAAGCGUUGCUCGGAAUUACUGGGCGUAAAGCGCACGCAGGCGGCCCUGCAAGUCGGAUGUGAAAGCCCCGGGCUCAACCCGGGAACUGCAUUCGAAACUGCUGGGCUUGAGUUCGGAAGAGGGUGGUGGAAUUCCUGGUGUAGAGGUGAAAUUCGUUGAUAUCAGGAGGGAACACCGGCGGCGAAGGCGGCCACCUGGUCCGAUACUGACGCUCAUGUGCGAAAGCGUGGGGUAGCAAACAGGAUUAGAUACCCUGGUAGUCCACGCCGUAAACGAUGAAUGCUAGGUGUUGGAGGUAUUCACCCCUUCAGUGCCGAAGUUAACGCAUUAAGCAGUUCCGCCUGGGGAGUACGGCCGCAAGGUUAAAACUCAAAGGAAUUGACGGG
rnacentral:rRNA from 1 species